ACAGUGUUUCCAUGCUGAGUGUCGGAGGGUACUUCCUGGCAGUUGCUGAGGCCUACACAUGUCCAGUGAUUGAAGCCUCAUAUUAGCUUCUGCUGAACUAGGACCUUGAUAUUUCUUACAUUACGGUCACAUUAUUAAGUGCUAGGGUGUAGCUACUGAUCCUACACUACAGCAGAGAGAGUGAGAGUUGGAGGGAGGAGGGACAUCAGGUGUCAGCUCUGCAACCUCAGCUGAGGCUGCAUUACAGCCAGCUCCAGGGGCACUGCCAGCUCUCUGCCUCGCCGGCCCAGCACCCAGCCAGCCACUCAGCCAGCCAUCCAGCACUUUACCCAUCCAUCCGCCCAGGUAGCCAGCAAGGCCGGCCCUGCCCAGAACUGCCAACCUGCAGGAGUCAUCAGGGCUCCGUACACAAGGGCAAAUAGGAUGUUUAGAUGACUGGAAGAGUCAGACUUUCUAAGAGAGGUAUUUCUCAGUGCACAGCAACACAUGGGGAGACAAGUGUGAGAGGAGGAACAACUACUGCGUAUCUACAGUGCAUUGCAUGCCAAGCACAGAGAUUGCCACAGAUGUAGCAAAGAUUAGGAGCACGAGGAAGAAGGAGUGACUCUGUACCCCCGGGAAGGACGUAAUGAGGUGGAACCACUUCUCUGGUUCCCACUGGAAAGCCACUUCCACCAUCAGAUCGCCAUCUGCUGGCUCGGUGGGGCGGGACAGCUGGUGUUGUGAAUCAGGCCGCCACAGUGCAGGGACCGGCUACUUCCCAACACCAGGGUCUCACCAUCUCCUCUCACAUCUCACUAUGCUUUCACCUGUGGCUUGAUAUAAAAACGGUCUUCUGUUUAUCAUGAUUAAGUAUACUACGAUUUAUUCUGGCCAGUUGUGUCCAAUAUGAAAUAAGAUUCAGCAGUGUAAGAUAAAUUAUUCUGACAAAAUUUUGAACAAUAUAUCACAUCCCAUUUAAAACAUACAGUAAGGAUAAUUAAGAUUACAACAAUUAUUCAGACUUUUUGAGAAAUCGCUAAAAAGAGAAAACCUGGAAAUGAAAUGAAGUUCUUAAGGUGCAGUUUGAAAAUGUUUGGAUUCAUUGUAUUUUGUUAAAAACUUGUACUUUUAUUUGCCCAUCACAGAUUGUGUUUGAACUACUAAUGUCUGUACAUUGUAACAUCUGUGUGUCAUUUACAGACAGGAAUCUGUUGUCAUCCAGUUUACAGAGGAAACCCACAGAGCUUUAUUUUUGUUUUGUUUUUUUUCUGGUCUAUGGCAAGGAUUAAAAACAUUUCUUCCACGUAUUUCCUUAAAUUACAUUAAAAAAUACAAUAAAGUACCAUCAUUUUCAUUACAGCCAGAAGUCAUGGUUUGAUUCACAGGCAGAGGAGACUGGAAGGUGAGGGAAGACAGAUUUUUGUUUCUUU